UGACUGUUGAAUUAAAACAAUGCAUCAUGAAGGCCCAGCAGGUGCUGAGACGAUGUGAUUUCUGCCCAGGGCUCUGAUUGUGAAGUGAAGACAUUCAAUGAAGCGCGGGUAAACGGGGAAUAACUAUGACUCUCUUAAGGUAGCCAAAUGCCUCCUCAUCUAAUUAGUGACGCGCAUGAAUGGAUGAACGA
rnacentral:ncRNA from 1 species